rnacentral:rRNA from 1 species
UACGUAGGGUGCAAGCGUUAAUCGGAAUUACUGGGCGUAAAGCGUGCGCAGGCGGUUUUGUAAGUUUGUCGUGAAAUCCCCGGGCUCAACCUGGGAAUGGCGAUGAAGACUGCAAGGCUAGAAUCUGGCAGAGGGGGGGGUAGAAUUCCACGUGUAGCAGUGAAAUGCGUAGAGAUGUGGAGGAACACCGAUGGCGAAGGCAGCCCCCUGGGUCAAGAUUGACGCU